rnacentral:rRNA from 1 species
GACGAACGCUGGCGGCGUGCUUAACACAUGCAAGUCGAACGGAAAGGCCCUGCUUUUGUGGGGUGCUCGAGUGGCGAACGGGUGAGUAACACGUGAGUAACCUGCCCUUGACUUUGGGAUAACUUCAGGAAACUGGGGCUAAUACCGGAUAGGAGCUCCUGCUGCAUGGUGGGGGUUGGAAAGUUUCGGCGGUUGGGGAUGGACUCGCGGCUUAUCAGCUUGUUGGUGGGGUAGUGGCUUACCAAGGCUUUGACGGGUAGCCGGCCUGAGAGGGUGACCGGCCACAUUGGGACUAAGAUACGGCCCAGACUCCUACGGGAGGCAGCAGUGGGAAACAUUGCACAAUGGGCGGACGCCGGAUGCAGCAGCGCCGCGUGCGGGAUGACGGCCUUCGGGUUGAAAACCGCUUUCGCCUGAGACGAAGCGUGAGUGACGGUAAUGAGUAAAGAAGCACCGGCUAACUACGUG